AUGUAGCUGACGAGUCCCAAAUAGGACAAAAUGUUCGUUGUCCUGUAU
rnacentral:hammerhead_ribozyme from 1 species